rnacentral:rRNA from 1 species
UGCCUAAUACAUGCAAGUCGAGCGAACAGACGAGGAGCUUGCUCCUCUGACGUUAGCGGCGGACGGGUGAGUAACACGUGGAUAACCUACCUAUAAGACUGGGAUAACUUCGGGAAACCGGAGCUAAUNACCGGAUAAUAUAUUGAACCGCAUGGUUCAAUAGUGAAAGACGGUUUUGCUGUCACUUAUAGAUGGAUCCGCGCCGCAUUAGCUAGUUGGUAAGGUAACGGCUUACCAAGGCAACGAUGCGUAGCCGACCUGAGAGGGUGAUCGGCCACACUGGAACUGAGACACGGUCCAGACUCCUACAGGAGGCAGCAGUAGGGAAUCUUCCGCAAUGGGCGAAAGCCUGACGGAGCAACGCCGCGUGAGUGAUGAAGGUCUUCGGAUCGUAAAACUCUGUUAUUAGGGAAGAACAAAUGUGUAAGUAACUAUGCACGUCUUGACGGUACCUAAUCAGAAAGCCACGGCUAACUACGUGCCAGCAGCCGCGGUAAUACGUAGGUGGCAAGCGUUAUCCGGAAUUAUUGGGCGUAAAGCGCGCGUAGGCGGUUUUUUAAGUCUGAUGUGAAAGCCCACGGCUCAACCGUGGAGGGUCAUUGGAAACUGGAAAACUUGAGUGCAGAAGAGGAAAGUGGAAUUCCAUGUGUAGCGGUGAAAUGCGCAGAGAUAUGGAGGAACACCAGUGGCGAAGGCGACUUUCUGGUCUGUAACUGACGCUGAUGUGCGAAAGCGUGGGGAUCAAACAGGAUU